AAGAUAUAAAAUCGACAGACAUUAGCCAGUAAACAUUCAAGUGCCAUUUUAUUAAACAUUCAUGAAGAAUAACCAUGUCACAUGCAAAAAAAAUCAGCAGAACUGUCAGAUUUUCAAAGAGGUCAUACUGUUGGGUUAACUGAAGCUGCUCUUAGCCAGCAAAAAAUUGCCGAAAAUCUUCAAAUUCCUCUUACUACUGUUAAAAGAAUUAUAGUGCAAUUCAAAGCCAAGAAAAAGAAUCAACAGCUUCUCAUCCUGGCUGACCUGGGCCCUCAGAAAGAAAGCUUCGCUGUUUGAAGAGAAUUGUGGAAAAUGAACCCCAUUCGAAGGCUUCUGACAUUGCAAAACAGCUAGAAGUUAGUCCAAGAACAUGUGUUACAUACCUGCAUAAGCUUGGGUGUUAUGGACAAGCAGCUAGAAGAAAACCUCUCCUUCAACCAAUUAAUAUCA